rnacentral:rRNA from 1 species
UACGUAGGGUGCGAGCGUUGUCCGGAAUUAUUGGGCGUAAAGAGCUCGUAGGCGGCUUGUCACGUCGGAUGUGAAAACCCGGGGCUCAACCCCGGGCCUGCAUUCGAUACGGGCAGGCUAGAGUCCGGCAGGGGAGACUGGAAUUCCUGGUGUAGCGGUGAAAUGCGCAGAUAUCAGGAGGAACACCGGUGGCGAAGGCGGGUCUCUGGGACGGUACUGACGCUGAGACGCGAAAGCGUGGGGAGCGAACAGG